rnacentral:rRNA from 1 species
CGACGUGAGCAAUCUGCCUUUAAGAGGGGGGUAACAGUCGGAAACGGCUGCUAAUACCGCAUAAAGCAUCGAAACCGCAUGAUUUUGAUGCCAAAGGAGCAAUCCGCUUUUAGAUGAGCUCGCGUCUGAUUAGCUGGUUGGCGGGGUAACGGCCCACCAAGGCGACGAUCAGUAGCCGGACUGAGAGGUUGAACGGCCACAUUGGGACUGAGACACGGCCCAG